CAGGUGGUCUGGCAGACCCCCCCAUCUAUGCCUGCGACAUGCGCUGGAGAGAACAGUUUUAUUUUUGGUGUGUCCGGAGCAGUGCGUCUCUCUCCUUAAAGCUCCAGUUCACUUGAGGCUGGGAUGGCCCGUGGCACUCUGAUCCGGGAUUAACAAGCAGAGGGCAGCUUGUCCCGACAUCCACUCACCCAAAGGUCUAAUGUGCAACCUAAAUCAACAAUGACUAGAGCUGCACAUAUGAAUUUAAGUAAAAGAAGAAAAAAAAAGUGGUGAUAUGCUAAUGGACGUAAGCAACAUGCUGGAGUCUGAUCUUUCCCAGCAAUAUCCUCCACCCUUACUGCCAAAACCUGGCAAAGACAAUGCAAGGCUUCAGAAACUUAGGAAGAAGAGAACCAAGAGAAAAGGCAAUCUCUCUCUGACCCCCAUUCCAUUUCGUUCCUGUUUGUCACCCGUCAAUGAGGCCAGCACAGAUCUUGAGUACAGCGACCAGUCCAGUCCGCCUAAGACACCAGAUUCAGUCGGCACUGUGGAAUCUGUGUGGUCUAAUUCACAAUUUGGCUCCCUCGUCGAUCAGUCUGAGCAAACUGCAUCUGCAUUCCCUAACCAUGAAAGCAGUUCUUCUGUUGACAACCUUCCCCUUGAAUAUUACAAGAGUCAGAUCAGGACUUCUGAAGAGCAGGUGGCACCAAUAUAUGAACGUUCCUCAAACUUAUUUUUGGAAUUGACUCCUUGCCUGAUGCCACCUAAGAUGUCAACUCCACAAUCAAGUUUAGAGCAGGUUACGUCUCCUUUUCAAACUGCUUUGAGUUCAACUUCACCAAAUUCCCUUGGGUCAGCCACAACAAUCCAUCCUGUUACUGUGUCACAGUCCAGUCCUAAAAUAUCAACACGUAACCUGCCACGACCAACUAUGCUCAACCAUGGCCCAUACACAGUGCCUUCUCAAAUUGCAGGUCUGCCUCUUGUUCCAGUCCUGCUAUCAGUUUCCAGUGCACACUUAGAACAUUUUACUCCCAGCCAGAGGGAGACAAACACCAGUUCGCAAGGCCACAUUCUACCCAAUACAUCAUCAUCUUGGAACCCUGGGCCUAUCAACAAUGCUAACUUGAUAGGCAAGACAUCACCAGAUACAAGGUUUGAUGGCCCCAAAAACACAACUUUUACAUCAAAAGUAAAAUGUUAUGACAUCCCAAUAUCUCUUUCCACACAAGACCUUACAGAAAAAAAUAUAAACUACAAAGAAGAAUUGCUAGAAUUUGCAUGUACGGCAAGAAAAGCUCUGGAGGAAAGAAAAGAACUGACAUCAGCUUUUCCAAAAAAUUUACGUGGAAAAUCGCAGAUUCCCUCUUGCACACAAUCAUUCACUUCCACUCCUGAAAUACCCCAAACAUGUUCUUUUUUAACAAGAACAGCUUUGAACUCUUCCCAAAAUGGAUUUGCUUUCUCAGAUUCCAUCAAGUCUUCAAGUAGUAAACAGUGCGCUGAAAAGGAGAUACAGCAGAAUCAUAAUCUGGAAAUAGGCAAAAAAAGGCAUAGCCAUUACAAAAGGAUAGACACUGAAAACACUUGUAGUACACUGAAUAAUGGCUUUACAACUGCAGAGAAUUUAACGUCAAACAUUUCUGCAACUUGCUUUGCCAAACCAACUGUAAUAGAACACACCCCAAAGCUGAAAACCAACCAAGUAUCAGAAAAAGAAUCUAUUUACUUACCAAAGGUCCCAUCAUUUCUGUGCACUGCACCAAAGAAUCCCUCUCUCACCCCUGUACAACCGAUUUCUACACAAGGGUCUACAAGUUUUCACCGCCUUUUGCCAACCUAUCACCCUCCUCAUGUAGCGGCACGCAAGUCUUUGUCAUCACUGCUGGAGACUCAAAUGUUUUUAGCCAACUCAAAAUCCAAAUCACAAUCAACAUAUUGUGGACUUAUUCCUGUUCAGUAUGCUGCCCGUGGUGGAAUUCGAACUCUGACAUCAUAUCAAAGCCUCGUACCCUGCGGAACUGAACCGACCUCUUUGACAAAAACACGACAUGCAGUAGAUCUCUCAAAACAUUAUUCAGCAAAACAACUUAAUGGACGUGAUCAGGAUCUGCAUUCAACACAAACAGAUUCAGAACUUAAAACAGAAUGGACCAUCAACAAUAACAAAGAUGUAUUUGAAAACAGUUGUGAAGUCAAAACUCCUGAACCUGUGACAUCUAAUUUGGAUAUAACAAAACCAGAACUUCCCCUUGGCUUGGUACAGAAAAAUAUGUAUCAACCCACAAGUGAUGUAUCUACACGUAAAGCCUCACACUCUGAGGCUUCAAAAUUCCUUCCUACAGCAGGUGAGGUAUACACACAGACUGUGACAAUGUUUCCCAUAGAGCAAGCUAUAAGUACGACCCCGUGUCUAAACAAGAGCAAUCGUUUUUACAAUUCAAUCCAAAAACCGGUGAUUCAAGAUUUAAAUAAAGAAAUACGCUGUAUUGCAAAUGUGGUAGAGGUAGAACAUUGUGAGAGAAAUGGGAAAACCCCUGCAAGUUUUAUAUCCAACAAUAAUUGUGAAGUAAAAUCAAAUGUCUUAACUGCAAGUACUGUAAACAGUGUCAGGUCAGCAUCAGUCAAUUAUAAUUUACAUUUUAGAGAUCUAGCUGAACACAAGCUUGUUCCAGAUCAUCCCUCAACUAUAACUGCAAACAAAGGUGGGUUACACAACCAAAGGGAAGACUUUAAACCCUCCCAAAGUAAUAAUACACAGAUAUUUCAAGAAAAAGCAUACAGUGGCUGUUUAUUUAAAACUGCACCCCAAAACCAAAUUAUAACUACCACUGAAUCAAGAUUGCAAAAUGAACCUGCAACUGCUUCUGCAUGUUACAGCCACCCCAAAAUAUGUGCUGUUUCCUUAGCUGAGAAAAGCAGCAAAUUUUCUGAGACACACAAUUCUACACUCAAUGAACCUGUAGGGGACAAUAUGUCUUUCUCCGGACAAGGUUUUGCUUUGAAAACUGCAAGUUUAACAUGUCCUAGCACUGUAAAUAAUUUGACAAACAAUAAUUCCAUUCUGCAAACCAAACUUCCUGGCAUACCCAUGAUUAUUAACAGAUCAAAAACCAAAUUCCCUUGGGAGAGAGACCAACAACCACAUUUAGAACUUGUUAUGCUUAACACAACUAGUGAAACUCGAGGAAGUUUUACAGUAAACUCCAACAAAGCCACAAGGGACAAACUACUGGCAUCUCUAAAAAUUCAAACUGUACUCGCUAAAAAUACCAAAGCUGUAAGCAAAACAAAUAUUAAAAGCGAGGUGAACAUUGCUAAAACGCAUUACCAGCCAACCAAUGAUUUUGUCCGUUUGACUGAAAAAAUACCCAAAGAGUCUACAACCGUCAUACCUGCUGUGCCAAAUAUUUUAGACAGUGAUAGUCAACAAGGAAACACAUCAGUUGCAGGAUCACUGGCUUUUAACAAGACCGUAACAAACAUGAGUUCUGCUCUAGAGUCAGGUGAUCUAAAUAAAAAUUCGAAAGAUCAAACUGUUUCUGAAACUAUGCAAUCAAACCAUUUUGAUGGCAAUCUCUCUUGUUGUACUACCUCUGAUCAUUUUAUAUUUAGAAGCCAAGUGAUGAGUGGUAAACCAUCAUAUAAUACACCCCUCACCAAACCUGUGCCAUCAAGUCCUAUUAUGAGGCAUUUGACUCAAAAAAGUCCUGGUCUGAGAAGAUUAGAAUCUGCAGCAACAAAUGAUACAGAAGGCAAUUCUGAGAAGGAACUUCAUCUCACAUUAUUAGAGGAAUUGCUACCUCGAAAUACUGUGGGAAGAAAUUUAAAGUCUCCAGAUUGUACUACAGCAAACAUAUUGAGUAAAUGUGUGGAAAAUCAAAUGGAUGCACAGUCUAGUAAAAACAAGUUGUCUGCGGAUAAGGUUCACACUUCUGUCCAAUUAGAAGGCUUUCACAGCAGAGAGGAACAAGCAAGUAAAUCAAUGAAAACUGACAUUGAUAAUGUAAAUAUGAAAAACCUGUUACAUACUGUUUUAAAUGAAACAAACGGCGCAAUGAAUCACCUGUUACCUAAGGUCACGCAAUCUGAUCAUGCCCCACAGAGUCCAACAAUACAAACACAACCUUUGAUUGCCCCAGGAGCCUCCUUGUUACAAGAACCAACAGUGUGUAAUAUACCAAUAGAAACUCUUGAUUUAACUUUACACCAGUCACCUCAUACUUCUUUGUUCAAAACAACAAACAACAAACCCUCUUUCGUAAAAGCAAAAAAUGAUCAAAUGUCUUUAAACACAGUUUCUAGUACUCAUCAGCUCUCCUUUAUAACCGAUUCUCAACCCGAAAACAUUAAAAAAAAGGUUUCCUCACAACCUGAAGCAGAUCUAAACAUUAAAACUAAAACUAUCCCUCCCGUCUGUUAUCCGAUUAGUCAAAACACACAUAAGCGUGUGGAAAGAAGACCUUCUUCUGCCACUGUAGAAACAAAACUUUCUGUUGUAAGCUCCAACAAACAAGCUUUGUCUGUCAAUAAAGUUCAGCCUUUGACAGAGAAACCAGUAGAGAGUGUUUCUCUUGCAAUGCCAGCAACAGAUACUGUCAUGAAAUCAUCCAAAGUUAAAGUUGCUGUGAUUGAUUCUACCACUCCUGCCUCUCUGCCUCAGGCUUCAGUCUCAACUCCAUCCCCAAACAGAGGAAUGUCACCGCUAUGUCAGCAAAACACUGGACUCAAUCACAAGGGUGUUUUAAAGAUCAAGGAUAUACCAGGAAAGACAGAUGCCCCAGCCAUCGAACCCUUCAAGAAGUCAGUGACAUCAACUGCAUCUUCAAUUGCUGAGCAAAAGAGACCUAGGCCAGGAACAUCUCCCGCACCUUCUGAUCCCAAGGCAGUGGAGAAGUCAAAAGGUCUGAAGGGUAAGCUCAGCGGAUGGACACGGCUUAAGAAACACUUGGUGGUUGAACCAGAAGAACCUUCGUUUCCAGAAUCACUGGCCAAUUCACAGGAUGAAACCAGUGGCAAGCAAAACACACUUCAUUAUUCUCCGGAUAAAUCACUAGCAGAUGAAUGUGAUAAUCAAGAUUUAGAGAGGAACAAAGAAGAUCCCAGGGCGCUAAAGAUGUGGGAUGCCCUCCUUUUUCAGAUGUUCUCCACAAAAGAACGAAUCAUGCACCAGCUCAACGUCACAAAAAAGCUCAAUAUCACAAAAAAGCUCGAUAUCACCAAAAAAGAUUCAGAAAAAGAGAAAGUCUCUCAAGAAAUCCAACCAGAGGUUCCGUCCUUUGUCAAUCGCCUGCCAGUUUUGCUCUACAGCCCUCGAUUUGAUGCCAGGAAACUAAAAGAGGCAGUAGAGAAGCCGUUAUCAAAAAUAGCAGCUGUUUUUGGAAGGGGAUUGUUAAACCGAAAAACUCAGGAGGAUGAUCACAAAGACUUCAAUAGAACAGCCAGAGGAUUUGGCUCAAAUAAAAUUAAAUAAAUGUAACAGCGCUUAUGUGAUUUGGGUUGAUCAUUUAUAUUAUUUGGAGACACAAUAAAAAAUAUAAAAUGUGAUGAAGGAUAUGAAUGAUAAUGAGAGAAAUUUUCUCGACACACUUUUGUUCAGUUUUGCAGUAGGCAAAUAUCCAGUGGGUUACAUAACGUAAUGAUGGGAUGGCAGUAUUGUUUGAACAAUGAAGUUGUAUUUGAUUGAGGGAAGUAUUUGAUGCCCUACCAUGAAGCAAUACUUCUGCCCCUGAUAGACCAGUGGUAGCCAUUGAAAAGGAUGAAAAAGACACCCAACUGUGUGACAUAGAGUAGGAAACUUACCAAUGAAAAACAUACCUCACUGCAUUGAGGAACCAAUAACUGGUUCCAUGUAUUGUAGAACCUCCUGGCCUCAACCUGAACACCAAAGAUCAGACGCGUCCACCAGCGUGACGAUGACCCAAAACAUAAGGCCAAAGCAACAAAAGAAUGUCGAGAGAAGAAACGUCAGACCUUAAACAAAUAAUAAAAUAUGUGGAGGGAGUUGAAACCAAGUGGCAGACUUUAACUAACUUGCCAACACGGGGUAUCCCACCAAGUCAUGUCUUAGUCAUGUUUUCCAGCAAUCAAAUACAACUUAAUUUAUCAUUUUUAUUUGAUGUUCUUUUGGUCUCUCUGUUAAAAUUAAUACACAAUGCAAAUGAAAUACUUGUCAGGUCUUUGCAAGGGGUGAACACAAAUCUUUGUGAAGAAUCAUCAGUAAAAACGGAGGUUAACAACAGUACUUUUGUUGUAACAGUGGUUUUGAAGAAAAAAACUACCAUAUUUUUCGGACUAUAAGUCGCAGUUUUUUUCAUAGGGGGUGCGACUUAAACUCAGGAGCGACUUAUGUGUGAAAUUGUUAACACAUUACCGUAAAAUAUCAAAUGAUAUUAUUUAGCUCAUUCGCGUAAGAGACUAGACGUAUAAGAUUUCAGCGGAUUUAUCGAUUAGGAGUGACAGAUAGUUAGGUAAACGUAUAGCAUGUUCUAUAUGUUAUAGUUAUUGGAAUGACUCUUACCAUAAUAUGUUACGUUAACAUACCAGGCACCUUCUGAGUUGGUUAUUUAUGUGUCAUAUAACGUACACUUAUUCAGCCUGUUGUUCACUAUUCUUUAUUUAUUUUAAAUUGCCUUUCAAAUGUCUAUUCCAGGUGUUGGGCUUUAUCAAAUAAAUUUCCCUCAAAAAUGCGACUUAUACUCCAGUGCGACUUAUACAUGUUUUUUUCCUUCUUUAUUGUGCAUUUUCGGCCGGUGCGACUUAUUCUCCAGAGCGACUUAUACUCCGAAAAAUACGGUAACCUUUUCUGAGGACUAGUCACCCUUGACCUUACACAAUGGUAGACCGUUACAAUGGCUACAGUGAAUACACAGGACAUCAAAUGCUAGCGCUGUAUUGACAUCUUUCGAAUGUUCAUAAUUAUUUUUUAUGAAUCUCAUCAAGUGUGUUUUAUUUCUGUUCAACAAACUGUUUUAUUCAGAAAUUAAAUCACUGCAAUUAAGUUUUGUAAUAACAAACCCCGUUUCCAUAUAAGUUGGGAAAUUGUGUUAUGUAAAUAUAAACGGAAUACAAUGAUUUGCAAAUCAUUUUCAACCCAUAUUCAGUUGAAUAUGCUACAAAGACAACAUAUUUGAUGUUUAAACUCAUAAAAUUUUUGCAAAUAUUAAUUAACUUAGAAUUUCAUGGCUGCAACACGUGCCAAAAUAGUUGGGAAAGGGCAUGUUCACCACUGUGUAACAGCAUUUUUUCUUUUAACAACACUCAAUUAACGUUUGGGAACUGAGUAAACUAAUUGUCGAAGCUUUGAAAGUGGAAUUCUUUCCCAUUCUUGUUUUGAAUAGAGGUUCAGUCGUUCAACAGUCCGGGGUCUCCACUGUCAUAUUUAACGCUUCAUAAUGCGCCACACAUUUUUGAUGGGAGACAGGCCGGAUGACACGAUGUCGAAUAUUUCCAAAAACAAUGUGAAAUGUGGACUCGUCGGACCACAGAACACUUUUCCACUUUGCAUCUGUCCAUCUUGGAUGAUCUCGGGCCCAGAGAACCCGGCGGCGUUUCUAGAUGUUGUUGAUAAAUGGCUUUCGCUUUGCAUAGUAGAGCUUUAACUUGCACUUACAGAUGUAGCGACGAACUGUAUUUAGUGACAGUGGUUUUCUGAAGUGUUCCUGAUAUCCCAUGUGGGGAUAUCCUUUCGAGAUUGAUGUCGGUUUUUGAUACAGUACCGUCUGAGGGAUCGAAGGUCACGGUCAUUCAAUGUUGGUUUCCGGCCAUGACACUUACGUGGAGUGAUUUCUCCAGAUUCUCCAAACCUUUUGAUGAUAUUAUUGACCGUAGAUGUUAAAAUCCCUAAAUUUCUUGCAAUUGCACUUUGAGAAACGUUGUUCUUAAACUGUUUGACUAUUUGCUCAUGCAGUUGUGGACAAAGGGGUGUACCUCGCCCCUUUCUUGUGAAAGACUCAAGCUGUUUUUAUACCCAAUCAUGGCACCCACCUGUUCCCAAUUAGCCUGCAUACCUGUGGGAUGUUCCAAAUAAGUGUUUGAUGAGCAUUCCUCGACUUUAUCAGUAUUUAUUGCCACCUUUACCAACUUCUAUGUCACGUGUUGCUGGCAUCAAAUUCUAAAGUUAAUGAUUAUUUGCAACAAAAAAUAUAUUGUCUUUGUAGCAUAUUCAACUGAAUAUGGGUUGAAAAUGAUUUGCAAAUCAUUGUAUUCCGUUUAUAUUUUACAUCUAACACAAUUUCCCAACUCAUAUGGAAACAUGGUUUGUAAAAAUACAUGUUGGCAUUGUAGACAAAAAUGUAUUUAUACUAAAACCAGAAAUGUGGUACCUCGACUUUUAAUGGCCCCAACUUAGGAGUGUUUUGAGAUAGCAGCUGUCUCUCAGCUAAUUGUUAUGCUUUAGGUUGCACACAAAAAUUUGAGUUACAAGCCUCCCCACCACUAAUUGGCGUCAAAGUGAAUGACAGAAUGAACCCCAUGAGAUCCGUCCAAAACAUCUGGUCUCUAGUGGUUAGCAUCUGGGCCCCGCAGUCAGGAGUUCCGGGUUCAAAUGUUCCCAAUGAGGACAAGCAGUAUAGAAAAUGGAUGGAAUGAAGAAAGUGGUGGGAAGGACAGUGCUGAGAAAAAGAAGUGGUCUAUAUGUAUUGAAUAAAGAAAGAAAUAAUCAAAAUCAUGAUGCAGAAUGAAUCGAUAAUGCGAGCAAAGAAUGUUGACUGUGGACAUUUUAUCAUGAAAAAAUGGAGAAGCAGUUUCAGGAGAUACUGUAAGUCUGCUCGACAAAAUGAAUGCUUUCUGGUAUUAUUACACUACUACAUAAAACUACUGAGAUUGUAUUACAUUCUGUUUUGUUAUAGAAAAAUAUUUUUAAAAAAAAUGUAUAAAGUUAUGUUACAUGUUAGAAUUGUGUUUUUUUUUGGCGGUAGGGAGGGCAAGCUCUGAUUAAACUGUUUUGAAUUAAUUUCAGUGGGCGACAUUGAUUGAGAUUCGAAUACUUUGACUUUUGUCAUAGAUCUAAAUAAGUUUGCCGUGGCUCAGAUGGUAGAUCAGCAAGCCAGAAAACUUGGGGUUCCUCGUACGGAUCAAUCUUCCGUCAUCUUAGUCAAUGCCGUUUUGUCCUUGGACAAGACACCUUGCACCCAGUACCUCUCACCCUGGCUUGAAUGUCACUUAAAAUGCAGAUAACUGGUUUCGCACCAUAAAGCGCUUUGAGUUUCUAGAGAAAUAGAGAUUUAUAAAUAUAUUUUACUUCACUUGUACAAACCCUGUUUCCAUAUGUGUUGGGAAAUUGUGUUAGAUGUAAAUAUAAAUGGAAUACAAUGAUUUGCAAUUAAUUUUCAACCCAUAUACAAUUGAAUGCACAAUAAAGACAAAAUAUUUGGACUCGUCAGACCACACAACACUUUUCCAUGUUGGAACGCUGAUGGGUCGCCACGAGGCGCCCCGUAAAAUAUGGGAAUAAGUAAAACGCUGGGGAAGAAAAUGAGUAAAACAAAUACAAUCUACACUGGGCUCCUAAGGGGGGCCUAGUCUGGAGUGGGAAAAAAAACCUCCGUGCAAUGCACACAUAAACACGUUACAUUUAAUCACGACAAACUCGCAACAGAGGGGCGGGGAGUUGGGGCCCUGGAAGGCGACUGCUGCUUUGAAGCGCUGCCAUCCGACCAUCACCCCGAGGGGAAAAAGCGGUGGUGAAGGCGUGGGGGUUGUGUGCGUGUAUGCCCAAAUGUCUUGGAUGUGAUGAUGUGAGGCCGAUCUGCAAAAGUUUGACUCCAGAUGCCAUUGAGGAGGGAGGGAGGUCAAAAGCGUCCAUCAUUGAGGUGUCCUCGGAGGUGGUUUCAGAACAGCCUGGUCCUGUUUCCAAAGCGUCAAGGCCACUCAAGGGAGUCAAAUCGUGAAUUAGAAUGUUUGUUUUCCGCAAGCAGACAAAAAAACAAUGACUUGUCUGUUCUAUUCGUCCAUGCUGGGUGCUCUCAAAUAAUGUGUAAUGUGUUUUACCUGAGGCGUAGUUUACAUGCUCAAUGCCGUAAGAGGGCGGAAUAUAAUGCUUUCAACACGUUUGAAAGUUAGUGCCCACUCGGCAGCCACUUAGGGUUGCAAAUAGUCUCUUAAUUUUGUUUAGGUUUGUGGUUAUUUAAUAUCCAUGUUCUGUUUUUUCACAUUCAAUUGAACUGUUUUCACUUUCAAUUUGUGUUUUUGGCGUCAAGGCUUCAAUGCGUAGAUAAGAGCUGGACUCUGCUAUCCGCCGCUAUUGUUACGUCUGAAACAUUUACAUCAUGUGAUAUUUGCAAGUUUGGGAGCUGUGAGCUAAAUUCCUUGUAACUUGUUAAAUACUGUAAAGUUUUUAUUGCGCUAUUUGGGUUGUUGGCUACACAACAAAGUUAGCAUACCUGACAGCAUACUGUCGCAAAACGCAAGCUUUGCCAUUUGGUUGAAGGUAUCUUUUAUUGACCAUGUUCACGUCAUUGCUGUGAGCGAAAAUGUUUCUUUUUCUAAAGCACUAAAAGUCAAGAUGAUCCUGUUGUAGCAGAGCUGUGUGUCCCCACCACUGAGGCACACAAACACUCAGCAUCUGAGAAGAAAGAGAAUCUUGGACGCCUUGCUGGACGGGAGGGAAUGAACUAGACUGGACUGGCUUUUCUAUUAGCACACCUUUUUUAUGUUUGUAUUGUAUUAUACACAAAUUAAAAAUUUCAACCAAA